CGGCGUGGAUGAGGCAUGCAAGUCGAACGGAACUUGAGGCAACUUAAGUUUAGUGGCGGAAGGGUUAGUAAUGCAUGGGUAACGUACCUUAAACCUGGGAAUAACACUUGGAAAUGAGUGCUAAUACCGAAUGUGAUUUUUAUAUGGCAUCAUAUUUAAAUCAAAGUGGGGGAUCCCGAAAGGGACCUUGUGGUUUGAGAGUGGCCCAUGUGGUAUCAGCUAGUUGGUGAGGUAAAGGCUCACCAAGGCUAAGACGCCUAGGCGGACUGAGAGGUCGAUCGCCAACACUGGGACUGAGAACUGCCCAGACUCCUACGGGAGGCUGCAGUCGAGAAUUUUUCGCAAUGGGCAAAAGCCUGACGAAGCGACGCCGUGUGUGUGAUGAAGGUCUUAGGAUCGUAAAGCACUUUUGCCUGGGAGCAAGUUGCUAGGGAUAAUACCAUUAGUAAUUGAGAGUACCAGGAGAAUAAGCGCCGGCUAACUGCGUGCCAGCAGCUGCGGUAAUACGUGGGGCGCAAGCAUUAAUCGGAUUUACUGGGUAUAAAGGGUGCGUAGGCUGUUUAACAAGUUGGACGUGAAAUCUUGGGGCUCACCCCCAGGCUGCUUCCAAAACUGUUAGGCUAGAGUUCAAGAGGGGGAAAUGGAAUUCCGCAAGUAGCGGUGAAAUGCGUAGAUAUGCGGAGGAACACCGGUGGCGAAGGCGAUUUCCUGGCUUGAUACUGACGCUGAGGCACGAAAGCAAGGGUAGCAAACAGGAUUAGAUACCCUGGUAGUCCUUGCUGUAAACGAUGCACACUUGAUGUAGCUAGUCUCAACCCUAGCUGUGUCGAAGCUAAUGCGAUAAGUGUGCCACCUGGGGAGUACGCUCGCAAGGGUGAAACUCAAAAGAAUUGACGGGGACCCGCACAAGCAGUGGAGCAUGUGGUUUAAUUCGAUGCUACGCGAAGAACCUUACCUGGGCUUGACAUGUAAGCGAAUAGGUCAGAGAUGAUCUAGUCCGCAAGGACGCUUAUACAGGUGCUGCAUGGCUGUCGUCAGCUCGUGCCGUGAGGUGUUGGGUUAAGUCCCGCAACGAGCGCAACCCUUGUC
rnacentral:rRNA from 1 species